CUUUUUUUCGGCAUCGAGGCCACUCGAAGCAGCCGAGGGAGCCGCCAGGACGCGGCAGCCCUCGCGAGGGAGGCUGACGAGGCGUAGGCGGAGCCAGCAGCGCCCCCUCCCCGGCCGUUCAAAGGCAGCCCCUAGGGAGCGCGAGCGACCAGGACGGGCAAACAGGGCGUGGCAUGGCAGUUUGCACGGCAGUUCCCGCAGGCAGGGCGAGCAGGGAGGGCCCCUCGCUGCUCUUUUGCAGCGGUCUUUCCCUUCGGUACUUGUAACCUGCUUGCGAGGAACCUGGCCAUGGUAUCAACCAGGCAGAAAACUAUGGCCUCCGCAUCUCUUGCGGCCUCUCCAGCCGCAGUCAGCGAUGUGGCUACUCAGACGGAGGGCUCGGGGAAACACACUGCCAUCCAGGUCUUGGGCUGCAGGGUGUGUCCGAGUCUUCUGUCGGUAUCCGACAGCAGCAGUGGUGGGUAUGCCUGUGGGAGGUGUGCCCAGGUUGAAGAGCUGCUCAGCCAGGUAGCGGAGCUUCGGGAGGAGGUGAGCAGGCUCAGGAGCAUCAGGGAGUCAGAGAGAGAAAUUGACUGGUGGAGGUGUACUCUACCCUCUCUGAGACAGACUCACGAGCCUGCCACAGCACAAGUGUCUCCUGCUACGCAGAAGACGAUAGUUCCCUCAUCCCGCCAGGCAGUAGGAGGGGACCUAGGCCAAGGGGGGCAAUGGAGGCAGGUUCCUGUUCGGGGUGGUAGGCGAGCCCUGUCCCUGCCCACUUCACCUUCCCAUCUACCCUUAUAUAACAGGUAUGAGGGUCUAGAACACGACAGUCAGAGCAAUGAAGUAGACGAAAGCCUGUCCCAGUUGGAGAGGAUGCCUAAGGCAAGGCAACCUACCCCCCACAUUGCUACAUCUUCUGUCAAGAAAGAAAGAAGGGUUAUUGUCAUGGGGGACUCCCUUUUGAAAGGGACAGAGGGCCCAAUAUGCCGACCGGACCCAACCCACAGGGAAGUCUGUUGCCUCCCUGGGGCUCGGGUGAGAGACUUCGCUAAGAAAGUCACUUGCCUGGUAUGGCCCACCGACUACUACCCGCUACUGGUCUUUCAGGCUGGUAAUGACGAGGUAGCAAGGAGAAGUCCGAGAGCGAUCAAAAGGGACUUUAGGGCUUUAGGGCGACUACUUAAAGGUUCAGG
rnacentral:lncRNA from 1 species